CAGCAGUAGGGAAUUUUCGUCAAUGGGGGGAACCCUGAACGAGCAAUGCCGCGUGAGUGAGGAAGGUCUUCGGAUCGUAAAGCUCUGUUGUAAGAGAAAAACGGCACUCAUAGGGAAUGAUGAGUGAGUGAUGGUAUCUUACCAGAAAGUCACGGCUAACUACGUGCCAGCAGCCGCGGUAAUACGUAGGUGGCGAGCGUUAUCCGGAAUGAUUGGGCGUAAAGGGUGCGUAGGUGGCAGAUCAAGUCUGGAGUAAAAGGUAUGGGCUCAACCCGUACUGGCUCUGGAAACUGAUCAGCUAGAGAACAGAAGAGGACGGCGGAACUCCAUGUGUAGCGGUAAAAUGCGUAGAUAUAUGGAAGAACACCGGUGGCGAAGGCGGCCGUCUGGUCUGGAUUCUGACACUGAAGCACGAAAGCGUGGGGAGCAAAUAGGAUUAGA
rnacentral:rRNA from 1 species